rnacentral:rRNA from 1 species
GAUGAACGCUAGCGGCAGGCUUAACACAUGCAAGUCGAGGGGCAGCACGGGUAGCAAUACUUGGUGGCGACCGGCGCAAGGGUGCGUAACGCGUGAGCAACAUGCCCGUAUCAGGGGGAUAAUCCAUGGAAACGUGGUCUAAUACCCCAUAGUAAGUUUUUGGGGCAUCUCAAAGAUUUUAAAGCUUUGGUGGAUACGGAUUGGCUCGCGUGACAUUAGCUGGAUGGUAAGGUAACGGCUUACCAUGGCUACGAUGUCUAGGGGUUCUGAGAGGGAGGUCCCCCACACUGGAACUGAGACACGGUCCAGACUCCUACGGGAGGCAGCAGGGAGGAAUAUUGGACAAUGGAUGGAAAGCUGAUCCAGCCAUGCCGCGUGCAGGAAGACGGCCCUAUGGGUUGUAAACUGCUUUUGUAUGGGAGCAAUAAGAUCUACGUGUAGAUUGAUGAGAGUACCAUACGAAUAAGCACCGGCUAACUCCGUGCCAGCCGCCGCAGUAAUAC